rnacentral:rRNA from 1 species
CCAAUAGCGUAUAUUAAAGUUGCUGCAGUUAAAAAGCUCGUAGUUGAAUUUCGGGAUCAAUAUGUUGGUCGUGCCUUGGUACGUACUAGCUUAUUGGUUUCUCCCUUCUGACGAACCAUGAUGUCAUUAAUUUGGUGUCAUGUGGAAUCAGGACUGUUACUUUGAAAAAAUUAGAGUGUUUAAAGCAGGCUCACGCUUGAAUACAUUAGCGUGGAAUAAUGAAAUAGGACAUUUGAUUCUAUUUUGUUGGUUUCUAGGAUCGACGUAAUGAUUAAUAGGGAUAGUUGGGGGCAUUAGUAUUCAAUUGUCAGAGGUGAAAUUCUUGGAUUUAUUGAAGACUAACUACUGCGAAAGCAUUUGCCAAGGAUGUUUUCAUUAAUCAAGAACGAAAGUUAGGGGAUCGAAGACGAUCAGAUACCGUCGUAGUCUUAACCAUAAACUAUGCCGACUAGGGAUCGGAUGAUGUUAAUUUUUUAAUGACUCAUUCGGCGCCUUACG